GAGUUUGAUCAUGGCUCAGAUUGAACGCUGGCGGCAUGCCUUACACAUGCAAGUCGAACGGCAGCACGGGAGCUUGCUCCUGGUGGCGAGUGGCGAACGGGUGAGUAAUGCAUCGGAACGUAUCCUGGAGUGGGGGAUAACGUAGCGAAAGUUACGCUAAUACCGCAUAUUCUGUGAGCAGGAAAGCGGGGGACCUUCGGGCCUCGCGCUCUUGGAGCGGCCGAUGUCGGAUUAGCUAGUUGGUGAGGUAAAGGCUCACCAAGGCGACGAUCCGUAGCAGGUCUGAGAGGAUGAUCUGCCACACUGGAACUGAGACACGGGUCCAGACUCCUACGGGAGGCAGCAGUGGGGAAUUUUGGACAAUGGGGGCAACCCUGAUCCAGCCAUGCCGCGUGAGUGAAGAAGGCCUCGG
rnacentral:rRNA from 1 species